rnacentral:rRNA from 1 species
UUAAGAAUCUUGCACAAUGGGGGCAACCCUGAUGCAGCGACGCCGCGUGGAUGAUGAAGGCUCUCGGGUUGUAAAGUCCAGUAAGCAGGGAAGAAUAAGCACCGGGUAAUAUUCGGUGUGAUGACGGUACCUGCCUAAAGCCCCGGCUAACUACGUGCCAGCAGCCGCGGUAAUACGUAUGGGGUAAGCGUUGUUCGGAAUUACUGGGUGUAAAGGGAGCGCAGGCGGGGAAACAAGUCAGCUGUGAAAACUAUGGGCUUAACCCAUAAACUGCAGUUGAAACUGGUUUUCUUGAGUGGAGUAGAGGUAGGCGGAAUUCCGAGGGUAGCGGUGAAAUGCGUAGAUAUUCGGAGGAACACCAGUGGCGAAGGCGGCCUACUGGGCUCUAACUGACGCUGAGGCUCGAAAGUGUGGGGAGCAAACA